CGGAUGUUAGAUGGCCUUCUUAUGCAUACAAUAUAAGAGGAGUAGGGAAUAGCCCUCAUCUGUGGGUAACAAAUAUGUCCGACACUAGCUUGACAGCAAUUAGCUAUGGUUCUAAUCACAUAUCUUGCUGAUAGCUAGCUCUCGAGGCUUGAAUUACUUAUUGAUAAGGAUGCAGGUGAUUGGUUCGAUCUUCUUCAAAGUUUCAUUGUCUCUGCAGAACCUAUGCUGUUAUCUUUCGAGUCUUUAUGAUUAAAGAGAUAGAUUAUACAAAUUCUAAAGCGGCUUUCUGGGGAUUGUGAAGAAUAGG
rnacentral:misc_RNA from 1 species